rnacentral:rRNA from 1 species
UACGAAGGGGGCUAGCGUUGUUCGGAUUUACUGGGCGUAAAGCGCACGUAGGCGGAUCGAUCAGUCAGGGGUGAAAUCCCAGAGCUCAACUCUGGAACUGCCUUUGAUACUGGGGAUCUCGAGUCCGGGAGAGGUGAGUGGAACUGCGAGUGUAGAGGUGAAAUUCGUAGAUAUUCGCAAGAACACCAGUGGCGAAGGCGGCUCACUGGCCCGGAACUGACGCUGAGGUGCGAAAGCGUGGGGAGCAAACAGG